CAUGAACCAAGGGAGUCCCUCGGCCUGGCCUGCGGGAUCAGGUUGAAACUGACUCUCUGACAUCCUCUGAGGGGUCCCAGAUUGCAAGCUAGGCCGAGGGACCCCACUGGUGCAUG
rnacentral:pre_miRNA from 1 species